rnacentral:rRNA from 1 species
UACGUAGGCAGCGAGCGUUGUUCGGAAUUACUGGGCGUAAAGAGUGUGUAGGCGGUGCUCUAAGUUCGGUGUGAAAUCUCCUGGCUCAACUGGGAGGGUGCGCCGGAAACUGGAGUGCUUGAGCGUGGGAGAGGAAAGCGGAAUUCCUGGUGUAGCGGUGAAAUGCGUAGAUAUCAGGAGGAACACCUGUGGUGUAGACGGCUUUCUGGACCAUAACUGACGCUGAGACACGAAAGCGUGGGUAGCAAACAGG